rnacentral:ncRNA from 1 species
UACCUGGUUGAUCCUGCCAGUAGUCAUAUGCUUGUCUCAAAGAUUAAGCCAUGCAAGUCUAAGUACGAGCUCUCGUACAGUGAAACUGCGAAUGGCUCAUUAAAACAGUUAUGGUUCAUUUGAUCGUACAGUUUACUUGGAUAACUGUGGUAAUUCUAGAGCUAAUACAUGCGAGAAGCGCCGACCUCGCGGGAGGCGUGCAUUUAUCAGACCAAAAACCGGCCGCGUCUUCGGGCGCGUUCGCCUUGGUGACUCUGGAUAACUUUGCGGAUCGCACGGUCUAGCACCGGCGACGGAUCAUUCAAGUGUCUGCCCUAUCAACUUUCGUCGGUACGGUAUUUGCCUACCGAGGUUCUUACGGGUGACGGGGAAUCAGGGUUCGAUUCCGGAGAGGGAGCCUGAGAAACGGCUACCACAUCCAAGGAAGGCAGCAGGCGCGCAAAUUACCCAUUCCCGACGCGGGGAGGUAGUGACGAAAAAUAACAAUGCAGGACUCGUUCGAGGCCCUGUAAUUGGAAUGAGUACACUUUAAAAGCUUUAACGAGUAUCCAUUGGAGGGCAAGUCUGGUGCCAGCAGCCGCGGUAAUUCCAGCUCCAAAAGUAUAUAUU